CGCUGGCGGCGUGCCUAAUACAUGCAAGUCGAACGGUCUUUUCUAUGGAAGCUUGCUUCCACUGAGAAGAUAGUGGCGAACGGGUGAGUAACACGUGGGUAACCUGCCCAUAAGAGGGGGAUAACAUCCGGAAACGGGUGCUAAUACCGCAUAGUUUUCUUGAUUGCAUGAUUGAGAAAGGAAAGACGGCCUUUGUGCUGUCGCUUAUGGAUGGACCCGCGGCGUAUUAGUUAGUUGGUGAGGUAACGGCUCACCAAGACGAUGAUACGUAGCCGACCUGAGAGGGUGAUCGGCCACAUUGGGACUGAGACACGGCCCAAACUCCUACGGGAGGCAGCAGUAGGGAAUCUUCCGCAAUGGACGAAAGUCUGACGGAGCAACGCCGCGUGAGUGAAGAAAGGUUUUCGGAUCGUAAAACUCUGUUGUCAGAGAAGAACAAGUUGGAGAGUAACUGCUCCAGCCUUGACGGUAUCUGACCAGAAAGCCACGGCUAACUACGUGCCAGCAGCCGC
rnacentral:rRNA from 1 species